UACGUAGGGGGCAAGCGUUGUCCGGAUUUAUUGGGCGUAAAGAGCGUGUAGGCGGCCAGGUAGGUCAGCUGUGAAAACUCGAGGCUCAACCUCGAGACGCCGGUUGAAACCAUCUGGCUAGAGUCCGGAAGAGGAGAGUGGAAUUCCUGGUGUAGCGGUGAAAUGCGCAGAUAUCAGGAGGAACACCAAUGGCGAAGGCAGCUCGCUGGGACGUGACUGACGCUGAGACGCGAAAGCGUGGGGAGCAAACAGG
rnacentral:rRNA from 1 species